UGAGCUGGUAGAUGUAAUUGUUGAGGAAGAAGAGCAUGGGCAUCUGCGCGCAGAUGAAGCUCAGCUGCAAGAUGCAGAGUGGUGGACAUUCAGCACUGGGCUGUCCCCUUUGUCCCCUCCCUGUCCCUGCUGGCCCUCACGUGAAAGCAAAUGUAGAAGAUGGUCUGGAAGACGACAAUGUAGGCACUGCAGGCUCCGCGUGGUGCUUGCCGCUGCUCCUGCACGUGUUCCUCCUUGUAGUUGGCGUACUCGUAGUACUUCUGUGCCAUCCUGUAGUGGAGUGUGGGUCAGCCUCUGCCCUGUCCCACUGUUCCCUUCUCCCCCUGCCACCUACCGCGUAAUGUAGUUGCCCAGGGAGGCCCAGAACGGCACGAUGGCCACCCCGAUGGCCACAGCAGAGGGCACCAGCGUGAAGUAGCGCUCCCAGUAGUUGCUGGAGACAAAGAGGGCAUAGAUGCCCACGGCCAGGAACAUGGUCCACUUGGUGCCGAAGAACCGGAUGAGGACAGGCGUGUAGAGCAGUGCCACCACGGGGGUGACGUUGAUGCCCAUCAGCACCUUGCGGUCGAUGUCUUCCAGCUCCAUGUUGCUGUACUUCACCUCCCGGGCCCGUGUAGACCAUGCAGC
rnacentral:lncRNA from 1 species